rnacentral:tRNA from 1 species
AGCUCAGUGGUCGAGCGUUGGCUUUGGAAGCCACAGGUCGGUGGUUCAAACCCACC